rnacentral:lncRNA from 1 species
AUGAAAUUAAACUUUAACUCAGGAUUUGAACCCAGAGCUCUCGGGUCUGGACCUGACACUCAGACCGCUGGGCCACAGGCUCCUCCGUGUCCCUGUCUCCGUGUCUCUGUGUCUCUGUCUCCGUGUCUCUGUCUCCGUGUCUCUGUCUCUGUGUCUCCGUGUCUCUGUGGUUUGUUUUCUUCAGCUGAAUCCAGUGAAACUAAACUGUCUCCAGCACAAGAGUGAGGCUUGAAGCCACAUCUAGCUCUGAUGUUCAGACCACCGUCUCUUCUUUUGGAGCUGUGUCUUGUUCGGUCAGAAACACUGAAAACUCAUUUAAACCAAGAGUGAGGUUUGAACCAGCGGCGUCCGUGUUAAGAACCAGUGUUUAAACCACUGCGCUCGUCUUAUUCCUUCAGAAACACUGGGAGCACUGAACACUGGCUGUGUGUCUGGAGGAGUGUGUCAGUCCUGUAAAGAGCUGACGCUCAGUUUGCUGCUGUUUGAACUCUGAGAGGCUUUCUUGACCUUCUUAUAUCUGAGUUCCUGACGCACCAGAUCACACGGAUAUGAAAACAGCUAAGAAGUGCAUAGGUCUUUCAGACAACAUUUAUGAUCAUCUCACUUUUAUUUAAAGCAGUUUAGGACAUGGUGAUGAGUCCUCAGAGAUAAAAUAGCUGUUUAUUUAUUUAAUAUUGAGCAUAUAAUGAACAUUUUUCAGCAGACACUGAAGCUCUGAAUGAAAUGAACAAUUCAUUGAGGAAAAAAAAAGGUUUUUAUUUGAUCACUCAGAAUAAAACUAGCAGCAGGUAGAUCUGAAUUCAUGUGAACUAAAACUACAGCCGUUAUAAACACCAGCAGGUUCUCAAAGACUAUUAUCUUUGAUGCACAAUCAGACAGAAUAAAAGAGAACAGUUUCAUCAGGAGAGGCAGCUUCAUGUCUGAAAUGACAAACGAGUCACAGCUUUAAUCUUCGUGAGAUUGAAAACUGCUGCACAUACAGUACACCUGAGCUCCAGCAAAUCCUCCUGAAAAAAAAUAAAGAAAUCAUAUUUUAUUUAAAACAGUGAGUCAGAGGAUCUGUAUUAAUUACACUGAUGUUAAUUAUUUCUACUUCUUUUAUUCUAGUCGGAGGAAAACCAUAUUUUGCAUUGAUUUAAUAUUUAAUAAAUGAUUAAUCUUCAUGUGAAGUGGGAAAACAUGUCAAAUUACCAUUUUAAUUUACAUAUAGUAAUAUAUUUUGCAUGUGUGGUAGACAUUUAGAAUUCGAGUUUCAUCGCCCUCCUGUGGUGAAUUAUGUGAAUUACAUUAAAGCGAUUUAUUUCUACAGAUUUCACGCGAGACAGAAGAAAACCUUGCAUUUAAUUACUUUGCGUUGAUUUUAUAUUAUUUAACAAAUUAAUCACGACCCUCUGCAACAAUAAAAUAUCUGGAAAACCGCCCUUUUCUUCAGUAGAAAUAUAUUUUUAUAUCUGAGCGCCAUCCUGUGGUGAAAUGUGAGAAUUACACUGCUGCCCCUUUAUACUUUUUUUUUCUGCAUUGAUUCAGAAUUAUUUAAUAAAUUAUUGAUUAUAAUGUGCGGACGAAACAAAAAAAAAAAAAAAAGAAUUACAUAAAUAUUACAUAAUAAAUAUUCAUGUCUAAUAGAAUUACACUGCUGACUAAUAAUUACUACAUACUUUAAUUCUAGCCAGAGGACAAUAUUAAUGUAUUCAGUAUUUUGCAUUGAUUAAUAUUAAACAAAUUAUUAAUUUUCACGUGAAGCAGAAAAACUUCUGUUAAAUUAUCCUUGUAAUUGGCUAUAAAUAUAUAUAACAUCUGAACAUUUAGAAUUCGCGUUUGUGUGAAUAUAAUUAUUUGUUAUUAAUAGUCCAAGGAUUUUAGAUUUUAAAAAUCAAAGUUCCGAAUGCUUUAACUUUUACAAAAUGUAAUUUAAAAAUCUUAAUGGAUUCAUUUUAAUUUAUUAUUUCAGGGUAAAAUGACCUCGAUAUGAGAUUCGCGCUAAUAUAAUAUUCUGAUAUCAAUAAUAAUAAUUUGUAUUAAAUAUGAUUUGUACGAGUUUGUAAUAGAAGUCACCUGCCACAAGAGGGCGCAGCAGAAUAGCGCUAAGAGCAGAUUUACACCAAGUGUCUAAUCUCACACUUCAGGUCGUUUUAUUCAUUCUAAGAGCAGCUUAUUAUUCAAUUAUGUGUUUAGGAGGAACCGCGUGCGUGUGCUCGUCAUCGUGAUCGCGCCGUGCGUAAGAGGAGCCGCGC